GACGAACGCUGGCGGCGUGCUUAACACAUGCAAGUCGAACGGAAAGGCCCUGCUUUUGUGGGGUGCUCGAGCGGCGAACGGGUGAGUAACACGUGAGUAACCUGCCCUUGACUUUGGGAUAACUUCAGGAAACUGGGGCUAAUACCGGAUAGGAGCUCCUGCUGCAUGGUGGGGGUUGGAAAGUUUCGGCGGUUGGGGAUGGACUCGCGGCUUAUCAGCUUGUUGGUGGGGUAGUGGCUUACCAAGGCUUUGACGGGUAGCCGGCCUGAGAGGGUGACCGGCCACAUUGGGACUGAGAUACGGCCCAGACGCCUACGGGAGGCAGCAGUGGGGAAUAUUGCACAAUGGGCGGAAGCCUGAUGCAGCAACGCCGCGUGCGGGAUGACGGCCUUCGGGUUGUAAACCGCUUUCGCCUGUGACGAAGCGUGAGUGACGGUAAUGGGUAAAGAAGCACCGGCUAACUACGUG
rnacentral:rRNA from 1 species